ACGGGUGAGUAACGCGUGGGAAACUACCCUAUGGUACGGAAUAACACAGAGAAAUUUGUGCUAAUACCGUAUGUGUCCUUCGGGAGAAAGAUUUAUCGCCAUAGGAUGUGCCCGCGUCGGAUUAGCUAGUUGGUGAGGUAAUGGCCCACCAAGGCGACGAUCCGUAGCUGGUCUGAGAGGAUGAUCAGCCGCAUUGGGACUGAGACACGGCCCAAACUCCUACGGGAGGCAGCAGUGGGGAAUAUUGGACAAUGGGCGCAAGCCUGAUCCAGCCAUGCCGCGUGAGUGAUGAAGGCCUUAGGGUUGUAAAGCUCUUUCGCUCGCGAGGAUAAUGACGGUAGCGAGAGAAGAAGCCCCGGCUAACUUCGUGCCAGCAGCCGCGGUAAUACGAAGGGGGCUAGCGUUGUUCGGAAUCACUGGGCGUAAAGCGCUCGUAGGCGGAUAUUUAAGUCAGAGGUGAAAGCCUGGGGCUCAACUCCAGAACUGCCUUUGAUACUGGGUAUCUUGAGUCCGGUAGAGGUGAGUGGAACUGCUAGU
rnacentral:rRNA from 1 species